AGAGUUUGAUCAUGGCUCAGGACGAACGCUGGCGGCGGGCUUAACACAUGCAAGUCGAACGGAAUCCAUGGAGCUUGCUCCGGAAGAUUUAGUGGCGAACGGGUGAGGAACACGUGAGAAACCUGCCCCGAACUUUGGGAUAACAGUUGGAAACGACUGCUAAUACCAAAUACCUCCGCGAUGUGGCAUCACAUUGCGAAGAAAGAAUUUCGGUUCGGGAGGGUCUCGCGGCCUAUCAGCUAGUUGGUGGGGUAAUGGCCUACCAAGGCAUCGACGGGUAGCUGGUCUGAGAGGAUGAUCAGCCACACUGGGACUGAGACACGGCCCAGACUCCUACGGGAGGCAGCAGUGGGGAAUCUUGUGCAAUGGGGGCAACCCUGACACAGCCACGCCGCGUGCGGGAAGAAGGCCUUCGGGUCGUAAACCGCUUUCAGCAGGAACGAAAAUGACGGUACCUGCAGAAGAAGGAGCGGCCAACUACGUGCCAGCAGCCGCGGUGACACGUAGGCUCCAAGCGUUGUCCGGAUUUAUUGGGCGUAAAGAGCUCGUAGGCGGUUCAGCAAGUCGGGUGUGAAAACUGUGGGCUUAACCCACAGCCUGCACCCGAAACUGCUGUGACUAGAGUUUGGUAGGGGAGCGGGGAAUUCCUGGUGUAGCGGUGAAAUGCGCAGAUAUCAGGAGGAACACCGGUGGCGAAGGCGCCGCUCUGGGCCAAUACUGACGCUGAGGAGCGAAAGCGUGGGUAGCAAACAGGAUUAGAUACCCU
rnacentral:rRNA from 1 species